AGAGUUUGAUCCUGGCUCAGGAUGAACGCUGGCGGCGUGCCUAACACAUGCAAGUCGAACGAGAAAUCGGGCACUCAGGCAACUGAGUGCCGGAGAGUAAAGUGGCGCACGGGUGAGUAACACGUGGGUAACCUACCCCCGAAUCUGGGAUAACUUCGCGAAAGCGUUGCUAAUACCGGAUAUUGUCCUUUUGGUUGUGACCUUUGGGAUGAAAGGCAACCUCUUCAUGAAAGUUGUCGUUCAGGGAUGGGCCCGCGUACCAUUAGCUUGUUGGUGGGGUAACGGCCCACCAAGGCUACGAUGGUUAGCUGGUCUGAGAGGAUGAUCAGCCACACUGGAACUGAAACACGGUCCAGACUCCUACGGGAGGCAGCAGUGAGGAAUUUUGCGCAAUGGGGGAGACCCUGACGCAGCAACGCCGCGUGAGUGAAGAAGGCUUUCGGGUCGUAAAGCUCUGUCAAGUGGGAAAAAAGUCUGAUGAUUAAUAGUUGUCAGAUCUGAUGGUACCACUGGAGAAGCACCGCUAACU
rnacentral:rRNA from 1 species